UCAGACUUUUGAGUUAUAAUCUAACCCAACCACCUCCAUGGCUUCAUCCUCUAGAGUGUUUUGCUUUUUCUUUUUAUUUUUUAUUUUUUUCAUAGUAAAAAAUAAAAAAACAAAAACUUUGAGUUAAUCUAACCCAACCCAUCGCCGUACUCAGAUUUGGAACCCGCUUUGAUGAUCUGGGGGACACGACACUUGAAGAUCGGCUUGUGAAAAACCUGUGGGAUGGUCGAUUUGGUCGCCCUUCUAUCAGUAAUCCAGGAUUGGUAGUUAUAGGCAGCCUUAUUCCCAAAUUUUGGAGAUGCUGACAAACACUUAAACCUACAACUCAUUGCUUGGUCAGAGGGCACAUGUCAUCUCUCUAAGCCAUGACCUCAUGACCGUGAACUGUGGCAUGGUUGACAAGAUUGAGAUAUUCAAAUAGCUUCUCAUGUAGAACUGAUUCUUCCUGUCAGACAAACAAAGUUUACAAUGGUGAGUGAAUCAAAAUUUUACAACUUUUAAGAAUGAUUGCGGUGCAUAUAGCACACAAGUAUGGAUGGAAGUAGAACAGUAGGUUCCCAAAAAAUUUCACAAUCGUUUGAGGUCACAAGUUAUUAAUGGUGUAUAAUAAAAUAGUAUCAAUGGUGGGCCCAUAUAAGACUCAAUAAUAACCUACCAACUUAGUAGUUGUGACAGAGAUCUUCUUCGAACUUAACGCACAAGUGACAAAUAGAUGGAAUAGCAGAAAAUAGCAUCUUUAUAGCCUGCAUAUUCUUGCCUUAAAACUCAACUAUUUGGCACCUCAUGGUGUGUCCAUAAUAUCCAAGAUUCAAAUCCUUCUCUCCUAUUGUAACUAUUGGAUUAAAAAUAAAAACCUAGCAGUUUUGAAAUUAAUUGUGAAAAUUGUAAUGUCUGUAGCAUGUCUUGAAACAAUAAAAAAUAGCAUGGGGAAUUUAAUGCAUAGCAUUACAUCACAUUACUAAAAGCAUCUUGACCAUACAAACACUAUUAUGGAUCAAGCUUUAGGAUAAGUAGAGUAUCAUCUUUCAAUAGAAAAUUAGGGCUGAAACUUGAUUGGAGCAAUGAAUUCAAAUGGCAUAUGCAGUUGAAGGUGACAGCCCCAAGUACACAAUUCUGUUUCGGUUGGGUUUAUACACCCAUGUAUCUCCUGAUGUAAAGGUUGCAGCAGUGGUUUGUUUUGUUCAAAAUUUUGUAAUUAGCAACAACGAUUCAUCUGGGUGGUAUUCUAAUGGAAGUUAAGAGCCUAGAGGUAUCAUCCACCUACGUUUCCAUGUAUUUGGGAUUUUCAGGGUCAUAACCAAUCAAAGUACAAGUUCAAGACACAAAAUGUGUAUGCUAAUUGAGAGCUCUUUUACAUCAUACAUGUCUGUCUAAGAAUAUAUUAACAUUCUUUCCUUUUGAGUUGAAAAGGUCAAGAAAGAAUGAUCACAAGAUGUCUAUUCUUGAAGGAAAUAGCCUUGGCAUAUUUCUACAAAUAAGUGGGCAACACGUGGUUCCACUUUAUGAAAGUUUCUCCCAAAAAAAAAAAAAAA